ACGGGUGAGUAAUGCUUAUCUUACCUGCCGUUUAGUGGGGGAUAACCAAAGGAAGCUUUGGCUAAUACCGCAUAUUCUGGUUUCGACCAGGAAAGGACUUCGGUUCGCUAAAUGAUGGGGAUAAGGCGUAUUAGCUUGUUGGUGAGGUAAAGGCUUACCAAGGCCAAGAUGCGUAGCCAAACUGAGAGGUUGAAUGGCCACAGGGAAACUGAGACACGGUUCCCACUCCUACGGGAGGCAGCAGUGAGGAAUAUUCCGCAAUGGGCGAAAGCCUGACGGAGCGAUGCUACGUGAAGGAUGAAGGUCUACGGAUUGUAAACUUCUUUACUCGGAUGUAAUCCUUAAAGCUUGCAUCUGAGCAAAAAGUCACGACUAACUAUGUGCCAGCAGUCGCGGUAAGACAUAGGUGGCGAACGUUAUCCGGAAUUAUUGGGCGUAAAGGAUGCGUAGAUGGUAGAAUAAGUUAUUGGUCGAUGCCAAACUCAAUUUGACGGAAGCUGGUAAUACUGUUCUACUCGAGGGCAGGAGAGGUUGAUGGAAUUCUGUGUGGAGCGGUGAAAUGCGUUGAUCUACAGAGGAACACCAAAAGAGGCGAAGGCAGUCAACUAUUCUGUUCCUGACAUUGAGGCAUGAAAGCGUGGGGAGCAAACCGGAUUAGAUACCCGGGUAGUCCACGCCCUAAACGAUGAGCAUUAGAUAUUGGGCAUUUUGCUUAGUGUCGCAGCUAACGCUUUAAAUGCUCCGCCUGGGUACUACGGUCGCAAGGCUAAAACUCAAAGGAAUUGACGGGGACCCGCACAAGCGGUGGAGCAUGUGGUUUAAUUCGAUACAACGCGCAGAACCUUACCAAGGUUUGACAUGGAGGGCAAAGUUGAAGAAACUCAACGGAGGUUAUCCCGACACAGGUGGUGCAUGGUCGUCGUCAGUUCGUGCUGUGAAGCGUACGCUUAAGUGCUAGAACGAACGCAACCCUCAUAUUUAGUUGCUAUCAUUUGGUUGAGAACUCUAAAUAGACUGCUAAGAUAACUUAGAGGAAGGAGAGGAUGACGUCUGGUCGUC
rnacentral:rRNA from 1 species